GGCCGGUUAGCUCAGUGGGUUGAGCGCGGUGCUGACAACAAUGACAACAUGGAGGUCGUGGGUUCAAUUCCCACUCGGUCC
rnacentral:tRNA from 1 species